ACCUUAGGGAAUUUUCUAAGCUCACCUAUUUGGCUUCAAUGAACUAUAAUAUAAUGUGCAAUUUCUUUUCUUGUAGGCCAAGAAGUAGCCAUGUGAACAGUUGGGAUUUGCUUCCAUAAAAUUCCUCUCAAGUCAAACAGGAGCUGAGUUCCAAGACUUGGGGAAUAGUGGGCUUCUGGAGUGAAGUGGCUGAUGCACCAAAACAUCUUUUAAAGAACAGAUAAAGAACAGAAGAGUACCUGGGAGAGCUGGUUGAAACCAGGACAUGGUGGGACCAUUGGAAAGGACUCUGAACCACAACAGCAGAGGGAGAUCUAGACUUGCAGGGACCCAGCCUCCACACUAGGGACCUCGACCUUGUCCUGCAGGGAGUGGAGACCCAUGAAUGUAUGUUAGCCCACAGUCUCUUGCAUAAAGAAGAUCAUCAUUCUUCUGUCCUAUGCCAUGUGAUUGUUACUGAGGAGGAUGGAGAUGACAUCAUCUACCAUGACUUCUCCUCAGAUGAAGCUGCUUUGGUGGAAGGUGCUAAAAAGCUGGGCUUUGUGCAGUGAGAACACCAUACUCAGUCAUCAUGGAAGCAAUAGAGCUUUGGAGCCAAACCCUUCUGAUGAUCCAAGGGCAAGCACAAUCUUCCUGCGACAAUAUCAAACAGAUGUUCAAGAAAAGAGAAAAAGCAGCCGCACAAACCAUGUACCUACUAAGCAUUUUACUAAAAAGCACAGCUCGUGUUCAACCAUAUACCUAGAUGACAGCACAGUCAGCCAGCCUUAUUUUACAACCACGGUAAAAUCGUGAGUACAACUAUGAUGUCAAGGGACACAGCCCCUUUUUCUAAAAUCAUCCCAGCCAUCCUCAGUUAUUUCAGUCAUUUGAUUAUCUUUUUCAGCAAUCAGUCUAAGAAACUGUUGUCAACUAUAUAUUGAUUUCCAAUUCUAAAUAUUAAUUUUCAAAAAAAUAUUAAUUUUCAGUUUCUCCUUUAACUUUAGACUUCACAUUGGAAGGGAAAAUUGGUUAGCAAAUAAUCAAUCCCUGGAAAAGUGUAGUUAUUUAUUUGAUGCUUUUUUGCCUUAUGACAAUGUUGAAUACAAUGAGUAGGAUAGGUGUCCUUUAUAGGAUGUUUUCCCCCCCAAAAAAAGUUUUUUUAUGAGUUACAGGCCUAAAUCAAUCAAUAUGUACUACUUUUGACAUUAAUCUUGGAAGAAGGAACAACUUUUUCUCUACUGGCACCGUAGUAUAUCUGCAUUUGACUUCCCUUCAUUUUGCAUGAACACCUCAUAGGGCACAAUUGAAGAUGCACUUUUAGAACAACCCAAG
rnacentral:lncRNA from 1 species